UGGAUGGGCCGGAGUGAUCGCUCGUCGGUGCUGCCUCGGCAGCGCGCGGACGAGAGGAAAGUCCGGGCACCCCAGGGCAACGUGCCACCUGAAAAGGUGGGGAUCGGCGGCGCAAGCCCCGGUCACGGACAGUGUCACAGAAAACAUACCGCCGCCUGGCAACAGGAGGUAAGGGUGAAAAGGCGAGGUAAGAGCUCACCGCUCCAACCGCAAGGAAGGAGGCAGGACAAACCCCACGUGGUGCAAGACAAAGCAGGAGAAACGGCCCGCCCUGGCCGCAAAUCCCGCCCCGGCGGGAUGGAUAACUCCGGGUAUUAGUCGCAUCUCUUCGGAGGGCGGGACGGGCAACCGUCCGGCAGACAAAUGAUCACACCAGAGGCCGCAAGGCCCGAGGACAGAACCCGGCUUAUGAAGGCCCAUCCACCUC
rnacentral:RNase_P_RNA from 1 species